rnacentral:rRNA from 1 species
GUACACUCCUGCGGGAGGCAGCAGUGAGGAAUAUUGGACAAUGGGUGGAAGCCUGAUCCAGCCAUCCCGCGUGCAGGAAGACGGCCCUAUGGGUUGUAAACUGCUUUUAUCUGGGGAUAAACCUACUUACGUGUAAGUAGCUGAAGGUACCAGAAGAAUAAGCACCGGCUAACUCCGUGCCAGCAGCCGCGGUAAUACGGAGGGUGCAAGCGUUAUCCGGAUUUAUUGGGUUUAAAGGGUCCGUAGGCGGACUGAUAAGUCAGUGGUGAAAUCCGACAGCUUAACUGUCGAACUGCCAUUGAUACUGUUAGUCUUGAGUAAGGUUGAAGUGGCUGGAAUAAGUAGUGUAGCGGUGAAAUGCAUAGAUAUUACUUAGAACACCAAUUGCGAAGGCAGGUCACUAAGUCUUAACUGACGCUGAUGGACGAAAGCGUGGGGAGCGAACAGGAUUAGAAACCCCUGUAGUCCCA